GUCUCUGUAGCGCAAUGGAUCGCUCGUUGGACUUUUAAUCCAAAGGUCGUGAGUUGGAAUCCCACCUGGGAUG